UACGUAGGGUGCAAGCGUUGUCCGGAAUUAUUGGGCGUAAAGAGCUCGUAGGCGGUCUGUCGCGUCGGCUGUGAAAACUCGGGGCUCAACCCCGAGCCUGCAGUCGAUACGGGCAGACUAGAGUGCUGUAGGGGAGACUGGAAUUCCUGGUGUAGCGGUGAAAUGCGCAGAUAUCAGGAGGAACACCGGUGGCGAAGGCGGGUCUCUGGGCAGUAACUGACGCUGAGGAGCGAAAGCGUGGGGAGCGAAC
rnacentral:rRNA from 2 species